rnacentral:lncRNA from 10 species
AGUUGCUGUGAAAGACUGACCAACUGAUGGUAGAAUUUUUAUCUGGUAACCUGUAAAAGGUGGAAAUUCAACACUUCUUCCCCAUUCUUGAUGUUUUCUUCCAGGCAGCUAGCCUUUUUAUUUAUACUGCUUCUCGGGUGAAGAGUCACUGACUGGUAAUCUCUGGAAAAACAAACAAGGUGAAUAAAGCAUCUUAGCAUCCCUCUCCUGGCUUCCUUCUGCUGCUUUCCUGAAUAUGCAUGGCAGUAUGCAUAGAACAAAACAUUCUCCCUGCUCCAAGAAGCAGGGUCUCCCUAGCCUGCCCUCAUGGACAGGUGAGCCUCAGUCCAGCAGAGCCUAUGGUUGGAGGCAAAAUGGGCCUCUUCCUGGAGUUCCGUUAGCAGGUCUAUCUGCCUCUCACUCUGAGCUCUGCCCUCUCCCUGAACCUGGUAACAAUAAGAGAUAUGUUGGCUUUGAACGAUUUGAUUUCUUGUCUCCUUUUUCCACUUGUUCUAAAUCAAAGUAGGGCAAAAUAUUCCUGUUUGUAGAGCAGAAACCUCAGAGACCUCAGCCCCAAUAUCUCUUCCUACCACAGUUUUCACAGACUAUUAGGAUCCCGGUGCAACAGAAGUGUUGAGAGAGCCCUUCUGCAAGGAACGAGAACCCAGCCAGGGCUCCACACUCCCGGAGAAGUUCUCUGUUCAGAACCACCCACUCUGUCAUCUGGGUCCUAUCAGUUCAUGCGGAUAGCUGCUGCCAUCACAAGGUGCCAGGCGCCAUGUUGGGCAUGUGGGUUACCUCAUUGAAUCUUCAAAUAGAUGCUGGUUUUGUCCCUCAGGAGAUGGAGGCUCCGAGAGGAUAGGAGACUUGUUCAAGAUUACUUGGCUCCUAAAGGAUGACAUUGGGCUUCAAUUUAAGUAGGAUUUCAAAGCUUGUGGCCUUGUUUCAUCAGAGGCGAGCAUCUCUACUUCCUCGGGACCAGGAUGGGUUGACCUGGGCUUCAUGUCUGAGUCUACCACUCAGUAGCUGAUUAACCCUGAGGAACACCCUGGACCUCUCCAAGGCUCAGACCUGUGAAAGGAAAGACCUUUCAACCCCCACCCUGGAGUGCACCAUAGGAUCAAAUGCAGCUGCGAAUAUUGUGCAAAAUUUUAAACACAAAAACUCCCCAUGAGACUGAGCUGAUAUCUCAUGGCUCUGGUGGCAAGCAAAAACACAAAGGGGAGAAGCCUCUUUUUUUCCCCCCUACUUCAGUUUUCUGUGUCAGUGCUUGUAAAAUCUUUGGUGUCAUGAACACCUCCUCCAAGUCUUUAGAAGUUCAACUUGCAUUAGGAUUUGACAAGGAAGUCCUUUGUUACUGUUUUCUUCUCUUUCAAGAUUAAAAGAAAAAUCUAAAUAUAGGACUGCCUUCUGCUUAGCAUAGUGCAUUUUCAGUAUAAGCAGACUGACUGCUCAGUCAGACUGAACAAAGCCCCGCGCCCCGAGCUGCCUAGCACCUGAGCCACUCUGCAGCCUGCCUCGUCCGCCUUUGAUGCCCACCUGUCAGUCCUGCUGCAUGGUGAAGAGGCCCCAAUACUGCCUUUCUAGGGCUUUGUCUUCUAUCAGCUGUUUUAUCUUUGCUUGGCUUCAAGCGUCUCUCUCUUUGUUCUCUGCCUUCUGUGUAUCUCUAACGUGGCAGUCUUUCAUUCCAGACCCCAACCUCCUCCCACAGCCUCCUGCACCAGCUUCUCAGGGCCCACAGGCAGCAUCUUGUGUGGGGACCCAAAGCGGCGGUUUGAGGCCACUGUGCAGGCUCAUCCAUCCCAGCUCUCACUAAGAGAACCCGAGCUGUUAAGGAGCAGGCUCUGCCUCCCCUCCCACCUCCAAACCUUUGCCAAGGCUGUUGCCCUAUCCUAGGCUGGAUUCCCCUUUGGGCUGCUCCAUGACUUGUCAAAAACAUAUCCUCAAAAGUUUAAGGGACUCUCAAAGCUAGCUUUUUCUCAAAGGUGUCCAGAGCGCUUCUAAACAGAAUCUUCUCCCCAUUGUGCUCCGCUGCAUUUGUUUCAUGAUGCUACAACCGCAUCCCUCUCUGCCAUGACUUUCUUUGUGUGAUAACCCAUGUCCUGGCAAAUAUGAAUUCCCAACAACAGAGACCACUCUAUUGGAAUUUAUACCUCCAGCCCCUUCCCUCUAGCCCCAGGUGUGGGUGCCUCGUACAAGGCAGAACUCAAUGAACAUUGUAGUGUGUGCUGAAACUUCCUUUUUUUUUUUUUUUUUUUUUUUCUGAUAUGGAGUCUUGCUCUGUCGCCCAGGCUGGAGUGCAGUGGUGCAAUCUAGGCUCACUGCUAGCUCCGCCUCCCGGGUUCACGCCAUUCUCCUACCUCAGUCUCCG